rnacentral:rRNA from 1 species
AGGACGAACGCUGGCGGCGUGCUUAACACAUGCAAGUCGAGCGAGGCCCUUCCUCCGGGAAGGUGCCCUAGCGGCGAACGGGUGAGUAACACGUGGGCAACCUGCCCCUAGCACUGGGAUAACUCCGGGAAACCGGGGCUAAUACCGGAUAUGACCUCCGAGGGCAUCCUUGGUGGUGUAAAGGAUUCUGGCUAGGGAUGGGCCCGCGGCCUAUCAGCUUGUUGGUGGGGUAAUGGCCUACCAAGGCGACGACGGGUAGCCGGCCUGAGAGGGCGACCGGCCACACUGGGACUGAGACACGGCCCAGACUCCUACGGGAGGCAGCAGUGGGGAAUAUUGCACAAUGGGCGAAAGCCUGAUGCAGCGACGCCGCGUGAGGGAUGACGGCCUUCGGGUUGUAAACCUCUUUCAGCGGGACGAAGCGAAAGUGACGGUACCUGCAGAAGAAGCACCGGCCAACUACGUGCCAGCAGCCGC